rnacentral:rRNA from 1 species
UACGAGGGGGGCGAGCGUUGUUCGGAAUUAUUGGGCGUAAAGGGUGCGUAGGCGGUUCCGCAAGUCCUGUGUGAAAUCUUCGGGCUCAACUCGAAGUCUGCACGGGAAACUGCGGGGCUUGAGUGUGGGAGAGGUGAGUGGAAUUCCCGGUGUAGCGGUGAAAUGCGUAGAUAUCGGGGAGGAACACCUGUGGCGAAAGCGGCUCACUGGACCUAACUGACGCUGAUGCACGAAAAGCUGGGGGGAGCAAACAGG